ACAUCAAAUUCUCCUCAUUCUGAAUUCCCAGAGUUCCACUGUUGCUUCUUCUUUCAUAUGGAGAAAGUUCUCUGAUUAAUAAGGGAAAAAUUCAAAGUUCUACCCAGGAUGGAAACAGCAUCAGUGAUGUUAAAGCCGCCUCGUAAUAUCAGUUUGGAGCCUUUUGUUCUAGCUUUCCCCAGUAAGGAGGAAGAGAGCCUCCUUCUGGUCAAUUGUAUGGAAAGAAGUUUUCUUUUUCUACUUAAAGUUCUUUAUUAACUUACAAGCUGAAGUUACAACCAGCCGCUUUUAUAGAAAAAGAUUCAAUAAUAUUAACACAGAAGAGCAAAUAAAAGAAUCUUUGUCAACUUC